GAUGAACGCUGGCGGCGUGCCUAAUACAUGCAAGUCGAGCGAACAGAUAAGGAGCUUGCUCCUUUGACGUUAGCGGCGGACGGGUGAGUAACACGUGGGUAACCUACCUAUAAGACUGGGAUAACUUCGGGAAACCGGCGCUAAUACCGUAUAACAUUUGGAACCGCAUGGUUCUAAAGUGAAAGAUGGUUUUGCUGUCACUUAUAGAUGGACCCGCGCCGUAUUAGCUAGUUGGUAAGGUAACGGCUUACCAAGGCAACGAUUCGUAGCCGACCUGAGAGGGGGAUAGGCCACACGGGAACUGAGACACGGUCCAGACUCCUACGGGAGGCAGCAGUAGGGAAUCUUCCGCAAUGGGCGAAAGCCUGACGGAGCAACGCCGCGUGAGUGAUGAAGGGUUUCGGCUCGUAAAACUCUGUUAUUAGGGAAGAACAAACGUGUAAGUAACUGUGCACGUCUUGACGGUACCUAAUCAGAAAGCCACGGCUAACUACGUG
rnacentral:rRNA from 1 species